AACCCGUGAUGUGGAUAAUGCCUUUAAAAGCCCUUAUAUCUUUCCCAAUGCUUCAUAUAGAGUUUCAUCAUCCUUCGUAGAGAAAAUGGUGAUGUCAGUCCUGAUCUU